GACGAACGCUGGCGGCGUGCUUAACACAUGCAAGUCGAACGGAAAGGCCCUGCUUUUGUGGGGUGCUCGAGUGGCGAACGGGUGAGUAACACGUGAGUAACCUGCCCUUGACUUUGGGAUAACUUCAGGAAACUGGGGCUAAUACCGGAUAGGAGCUCCUGCUGCAUGGUGGGGGUUGGAAAGUUUCGGCGGUUGGGGAUGGACUCGCGGCUUAUCAGCUUGUUGGUGGGGUAGUGGCUUACCAAGGCUUUGACGGGUAGCCGGCCUGAGAGGGUGACCGGCCACAUUGGGACUGAGAUACGCCCCAUACUCAUCCGGGAGGCAGCAGUCGGGAAGAUUGCAUAAGCGGCGGAAGCCUGAUGCAGCAACGCCGCGUGCGGGAUGACGGCCUUCGGGUUGUAAGCCGCUUUCGCCUGUGACGAAGAGUGAGUGACGGUAAUGGGUAAAGAAGCACCGGCUAACUACGUG
rnacentral:rRNA from 1 species